UACAGAGGGGCAAGCGUUGUUCGGAAUACUGGGCGUAAAGGGCGCGUAGGCGGCCCGCUAAGUCGAACGUGAAAUCCCCGAGCUCAACUCGGGAACUGCGUCCGAUACUGGCGGGCUUGAAUCCGGGAGAGGGAUGCGGAAUUCCAGGUGUAGCGGUGAAAUGCGUAGAUAUCUGGAGGAAUACCGGUGGCGAAGGCGGCAUCCUGGACCGGCAUUGGACGCUGAGGAGCGAAAGCCAGGGGAGCAAGCGGG
rnacentral:rRNA from 1 species